CAUAACUAAAUAUAGUAGCCAGAGACAGCAGGUGCAAAAUGCUUAAUAUCCUGCCGAGGUUUACGUCUUAGUAUUUAUAACUUGGUUUCACAGCUAGAAAAGUGUGAAAUUGAUUUUACUGGAUGUAAUACGAUUUUAGAAAUCGACCUUGAUGUAAAACCCUGGCUUUUAGGAAGCUGGGGUUUAUUGUUUUUAGC
rfam:Calothrix sp. HK-06 NIES-2101_Scaffold_6, whole genome shotgun sequence.